rnacentral:rRNA from 1 species
UACGUAGGGGGCAAGCGUUAUCCGGAUUCACUGGGUGUAAAGGGAGCGUAGACGGCCAUGCAAGCCUGGAGUGAAAGCCCGGGGCCCAACCCCGGGACUGCUCUGGGAACUGUGCGGCUGGAGUGCGGGAGGGGCAGGCGGAAUUCCUGGUGUAGCGGUGAAAUGCGUAGAUAUCAGGAGGAACACCGGCGGCGAAGGCGGCCUGCUGGACCGCGACUGACGUUGAGGCUCGAAAGCGUGGGGAGCGAACAGG